GAUCUUCGUGAUGGUAGCAAAUUUUGACACGAGAGCCUCGAAGAGCCUCAUUGGCGAUGUGUUUCAUGUGCACAGCUCUUGAACAUCUUCACGUCGAUCCGAAGAGAUGGCAAAAC
rnacentral:rRNA from 1 species